CGGGGGGUGGGGGGGGGGCCCUCAGCCCGGAUUGUAAGACGGCACAGGCCAGGCCGAGGGACCCCACCAGUGCACG
rfam:Myotis lucifugus cont2.1486, whole genome shotgun sequence.